rnacentral:rRNA from 1 species
GAUGAACGCUGGCGGCGUGCCUAAUACAUGCAAGUCGAGCGAACGGACGAGAAGCUUGCUUCUCUGAUGUUAGCGGCGGACGGGUGAGUAACACGUGGAUAACCUACCUAUAAGACUGGGAUAACUUCGGGAAACCGGAGCUAAUACCGGAUAAUAUUUUGAACCGCAUGGUUCAAAAGUGAAAGACGGUCUUGCUGUCACUUAUAGAUGGAUCCGCGCUGCAUUAGCUAGUUGGUAAGGUAACGGCUUACCAAGGCAACGAUGCAUAGCCGACCUGAGAGGGUGAGCGGCCACACUGGAACUGAGACACGGUCCAGACUCCUACGGGAGGCAGCAGUAGGGAAGCUUCCGCAAUGGGCGAAAGCCUGACGGAGCAACGCCGCGUGAGUGAUGAAGGUCUUCGGAUCGUAAAACUCUGUUAUUAGGGAAGAACAUAUGUGUAAGUAACUGUGCACAUCUUGACGGUACCUAAUCAGAAAGCCACGGCUAACUACGUG